GUGGAUCUCGGUAGGUCCGACUAUGCCACGGCCACAGCCACGCAGCAGCAGCGGGAGGGGGGACGGCGACAAUGGGAAGGCGGCGGCCCGCUGGAACUGGAACCGGAGGACCGGCGCCGAGGGCCUGCCGCGCGGGAUCGUCCAAACCAGCUCCGACAUGUUCCUUCGCCUGCUUUGGGACCCCGCCACCAAGCAUGCCAUCCCCAAGGAGAAGUACCAUAAGGUGGUUAAGGAAAAUUAGAAUCUAGAGAAGCAUGUGUUCUCUUUGAAGGUGAACAUUUCACCGUGGCUUUAGGUUCAGGUUCUCCUUAAGUCAGCCUUCUAACUGAGAUUGGAAACACAAAGGAUGACCUGAAGCUUCCCACUUAUGAUGUCCUUCUUUCCUAGGUACCAGAGGCUGACCAGGUACUCCAUCGACAUCUCUAGCUCCCACAUGUCGCCCUGGGCUGUAGCGCCCUCUCGUGGGCGAUCGACAUCCUCUUGGUGGCGCCACUCCAAUUAGUAUAGUGCUGCUAUAGUGUCGAGACAACAUGCUAUUCAAAACUUUGAUAAUAUGUCAUGCACCGUAUCCUAAAUUCAGGAUCUUAAGCAUUGCUGCAAAGGAUAAGUUGUUAGCUUUCACAUGUAAUUCUAUCAUUUUCCUAAAUUUAUAUCUCCACAAUCAUGUGAAAAUAAAUAAACACUGCUAUCUAUUUAAAAGUUAAUUCAAUUGGGCAGGGAGGAGCAAUGCUUGCAGCUAGGUAUCAAUUUCAUACUUGUCAGUAAAGCUGCUGCCACUUGUAAGGCACAUGCAUGUUGGGUGUCUUGCCGCAGUUGCAGCCAUGCUAAUCUUUUCCUAUGUGAGAUUAGAAUUUGAGUGCCAUCAUUCAUCUCUUGGUAUCUUGUUCUCUAUGAUGACUGUUCAUUGUUGAGUGCUAUAUAUAUAUAUAUAUAUAUACUUUGGUUGUCAUGCAGUGCUUGUAGUUCCAUAUUUUGUUGAUGCACCGAUAGCUGUUCAGAACUGUAGUAGUGUAGUUAGUUUUUUGAAUUAUUUGGUGUGCAUGGAACACUGAUUUUUCUUUAAUACACUGUCCAAGUCAUGAUUUUUCUCAACUGGUGCAUGUAUAUAUAUUUGGGUGCUAGUCAAUUAGAGAAUGUAUGUGAUACCAUGUCUGUACUAUGUGCCAGUGUAGCUGUACUGAUGCUUUGGGAUUCAUCUGUGCAGCAGAGGACAAGGGCUUCAUGGACAACCAAGGCGCAUGGUGCUCGCAAGCGACGAAUGGAGUUUGUUCGACAUAGGCACGGAGGAGGAGGAGGACGGGCACGGACGAAGGAGGACAAAACAUCUCUCUUCUUCCAGGUUAGUGAGCAGCAUCAGGAGGAGGAGCUCAAGAACGACCACCAAGAGGCACCACCGCAACAGCAGAUAGCACGUCCAUCUCCACCUCCCUCUCCCUCUGCUCCCAAUCCUUUUUAUUAGAAUAUAUUGAGUACAUUCUGUCAACUUGUGUGUCAGUAAGAAUAUUAUUGCUGUUCAAGUAUAGUAGCUUCUGUCCAAGUGCUCUUCAUCUUGUGUGUCAUCUGCAAGGCAAUCAAGUUAAUUAGAUGUUGCUCUUUUCAUGUUCUGCUUCAUACAUACAUGCAUAUGUGAUAGCUCCCUGCCUCCCUGCCUGCUACAUCUCCGCUUGCAUAAAUCAAAGAGAAGAAAGAAACACUCAGCUUAAAAUAAUUGUAAUGAGCAGCACAUGCCUUUCAUUUUACAGGAUGGUCAUUGUAUCAUGAUAACUGGAUCAUGUCUAUGCCAAAUACAAAUCAUUGAGCAGUGUUCCUAAUGGCCUGUUACCUUGAAUAAUAAUGUUGACAUGAGCACUUUGGUUGCAUGUUUGUGACUUCUUGCUUGAAUCCCAAAGUUUCAGAUCAACGUGGGGUUCAAUGUUUGCUUUCCAUUCUUAUUGUCCGUCUUAGAUCGUUCCCAGUUCACUGAAUCAAGUUGCCUGACCUACCUAUUAGGCAGGCUCACAUAGCUGUAUCUGCCGUGUCCUUUCCAGUUGGACAUGCGCAAGCUGUGUUUUUACAUAAGCUCAUUUGAAAAUCACAUACUAGUAGCAGCAAAGUUUAUUGCAAUAGUUGUCUGUCAACGUUCAGUGCGAGCAGCAAAAUUCAGUUAUGCACAAGCACCAUUUAGCAGCAGCAUAGGUAUAUAGCAUUCAUUUAGCGGCAGAAAAAUCCAGUUCAUUUUACUCGCUGCUCUCUUUGGCAUUUACAGUCUUGGACUCUCUGGCUGCUCCUCUGGCCAAUGGUGAAGCGCCCGAUGAGGCCAGCAGCAAGGCAAUGCGGCGGGAUCGUGCUCCCGUGAUCGUCUGAGGCGCAUGCUCUGCUGCUCAAGGGUGUCCGUGGAAGGCCCAGUACUGACUAUUGAAGGAGCUACAUGUAGAAGAAGAAAACACUUGUAGACCAGUGAUUCCCAUACUUUAGAGCUUGUAUCAACUAAGCUUGUAUUACAUGUAACUUUUAGAACUUGUAAAGUACUGUAUAUGUAAUAGCUUGUAGUAUGUGUCAUUUGUAGAACCUGUACAAAUCUGGCUAUUGUUAUUUGAAGUAUCAUGUGUGUUUUUUGCUUGCCAA